rnacentral:rRNA from 1 species
CGCACGGGUGAGUAAUGCAUAGGAACGUGCCUUUUAGUGGGGAAUAACCACGGGAAACCGUAGCUAAUACCGCAUGACCUCGCAAGAGAAAAGGUGGCCUCUACUUGUAAGCUACCGCUAAAAGAGCGGCCUAUGUCCCAUUAGCUAGUUGGUAGGGUAAAAGCCUACCAAGGCAACGAUGGGUAGCUGGUCUGAGAGGAUGAUCAGCCACACUGGAACUGAGACACGGUCCAGACUCC